rnacentral:misc_RNA from 1 species
CUCAACACAACACGGCAACCUCAAAUUUCUUCUUUUCCUUACAAGAACAGAAGCAUACCAGAAAAUCUGUCUUAAGAAAGAUUGAAUUUUUCUUUGUCCUCUUAAGGGAAAUAAAAUGGAUGAAAGAGAAAGCAGCUCACUUGUACCAGAAUCAGUCAUGGACUCUGCUAAGACUACCUUGGCCGACCUCGAACGAGUACAGACCCACUUGCUUCAGUUCCUCUCUCUCUCUGACCCGGAUGUCCUCGCUGAGACGCCCCCUCUCCAACGCGCACAGUCUCUCUUUCUGCUUGCCAAGGCCACUACUAUUCUUUUCUCAUU